AUACAAAACCCCUGGGGAACUUGUGAAGCUAUAGAUUCUGUUGCAGGAGGACUUGGGUAGGGACAGAAAUACUGCAUUUCUAACAAGCUCCCAUGUGCUCCUGGU
rnacentral:pre_miRNA from 1 species